CUGUCAUUGCAUUUCAGUUUAUCCUGGGGAA
rnacentral:piRNA from 1 species